UACAGAGGUCCCAAGCGUUGUUCGGAUUUACUGGGCGUAAAGGGCGCGUAGGCGGCACGGCAAGUCAGGAGUGAAAGCCCGGGGCUCAACCCCGGAACGUCUUUUGAAACUGCCGAGCUAGAGUGCGGAAGAGGCAACUGGAAUUCCCAGUGUAGCGGUGAAAUGCGUAGAUAUUGGGAAGAACACCUGAGGCGAAGGCGGGUUGCUGGGCCGACACUGACGCUGAGGCGCGAAAGCCAGGGGAGCGAACGGG
rnacentral:rRNA from 1 species